GAAUUAUUUUUGAUUGCCUUGUUUUUCAUUAACUUUUUCCUCAAACUACAAGUCAUUGUGCAACUUAGGACGAUCUGGUCAGUGCUCAGUGAGCUCCCUUUCUGCUUCCUCUAACAGGUCGCCCAGCAGUUUGGUCAAGGAUGACUGUGAGAAAGAAGCUACAAUUCUACAACCAUGUGAAAAUGACAAGGACCCUGUGACAUUGUAUCACAGGACAGAGAACAGCAGUUGAGGACACAGGCAACGAUCAGCAUGGGGUGAAGUUUGAAAGGAAAGCAUGCAGCAGUUGCCUCCUGAAUUACAGAAAGUAUAGAAAAUAGAAGAUACCAGGAAAAUACUCCUCUCCAAAGCUUUAUUUCUCUUUUUUUGCAAAGGUAUUGAAUGAAUUCUGCAAAGACCUUGUCAAGUUCCCAGUAUAUUACAUGUUAGUCAAUCUAUAGUUCUUCCUGCCCCCCAUGUAACUUCUUCAUGAAAUCUCUGGUGCUCCUCAGGCAAUGAGAAAGGUGACAGUAAGUUCAGCUCAAUAAAAUCUGCAGCUCUUCUUAUUGCCGCACACUAAGGAAAUUGAAAAAUAUCUGUCUUUCAGAUGUGUCCUGGUUCCAUUUCCUGUUCAUUGUCCUGGGGUCUGCAGUGAGCAUUUUUGCAUCAUAUGUUCCAGUGCUUGUGUGGAGCACCCUGCCUUGCUGUCAUAUGCCCAUCUCAGUAUCUCUGUGUUUGUGUUGGUGCUCACAUGUGUUACUGCAUUCCCAAAUCCUUUGUCCUUUUUCCAUCUC
rnacentral:lncRNA from 13 species